rnacentral:rRNA from 1 species
UACGAAGGGGGCUAGCGAUGUUCGGAAUUACUGGGCGUAAAGCCCACGUAGGCGGCUCUGUAAGUUGGGGGUGAAAUCCCCAGGCUCAACCUCGGAAUUGCCUUCAAGACUGCAGGGCUUGAGUUCGGGAGAGGUGAGUGGAAUUCCCAGUGUAGAGGUGAAAUUCGUAGAGAUUGGGAAGAACACCAGUGGCGAAGGCGGCUCACUGGCCCGUAUCUGACGCUGAGGUGCGCAAGCUCUGGGAGCAAACAGG